ACUGUGGGAAGAGAAAGAGGUCACUACUACUGUGGGAAGAGAAAGAGGUCACUACUACUGUGGGAAGAGAAAGAGGUCACUACUACUGUGGGAAGAGAAAAGAGGUCACUACUACUGUGGGAAGAGAAAGAGGUCACUACUACUGUGGGAAGAGAAAGAGGUCACUACUACUGUGGGAAGAGAAAAGAGGUCACUACUACUGUGGGAAGAGAAAGAGGUCACUACUACUGUGGGAAGAGAAAAGAGGUCACUACUACUGUGGGAAGAGAAA